GGGCAAGAAUAAACCCACUCCGGGACCCCACAUGUGCUGGUGAAAUUUCAGGAUGCGGGGCGCAAAGAGAAGAGGUGACAAGAGAGAAAAGGAUGGAAAAUCCAAAUGUUGGUGGAAUUCUCAACAGCAGCCAUGAAACCAGGACUAACGAAGGAAUGCCUUCAAGAUUCUGAAAAGUGUUCCCAGUGUGGAACUAUGUAGCUAGUGGACUAUCAACUCAGUGUAUUGCCAGGGAGAUGCUCCGAAAUGCAAGGUCUCAGAGGGUUUACCUCCUGGGCUGGCCAGUCGCCAAGACGGUCCCAUGAUUCCUGUCUCCUGGUAUUCCACCCCCUGCUUCCACGUUGCGUCACAUCUGUGCAAAAUAGCAGCAAAUCGAUGGUACGUCUCUUCCAAGACCGAGUCAUAGAAGACGCUGUGGCUUCUGCCCUGCUCUUUCUCUCCUGGUUCGCUAGCCCUGGGGAAAGCAAGCUGCUCCAUAGUAAGGACACUCAAGCAGCCCUGAGGAGAGGCUCACACGCCGAGGAACUGAGCCAACAAAGAACUAAGGUCUUCGGUCAACAGCCAUGUGAGUGAGCUGUCUCGGCAAUGAUCCGCCACCCCCACGACAGGCCCGCAGCUGACUGCGGCUCUGGCUGACGGCUUUACUGCCACCUCCUGAGGGACUCUGAUCCAGAACCACCCAGCUAAGCCAGUCCCAGGUUCCUGAAAUGCAGAAGCAGUGUGACAUCAUGCAUAGUUGCUUGAAGCUGCUACAUUCGGGGGACGGUGGCCUCACUGCUGCAUGGCCUGGACCCGCCUGGACCAGGAUGGCGUAAAGACGAAACACAACCCCAGGGUAACGUGGAAGAAGCACAACUCUCUUCUUUACCACGAGCCUUUGUUCAUGCUUCUGUCGUCGUUAGGGGGGUCUCACAAUUAGCAACGAAGCAAGGACACACUUGCGAGCAACAGCGGGCCACUGCGAAUGACCAACUCCCGGAUGGGCAGAAGACGGGACUGUCCGAAGCAACCCGCGACAUGAAUGUCCACUCACAGCGUCCGUCACUCACUAACAGGCUUGUCUAGUUGCAGAUCUGUCUCCCCGCCCUGUGAGCUGUUUGAAGGAGGGAACUGUGCCUUUCGUCUUUGAACUUUCCGGUGUCUCAUACAGUGUUUGGUACGCAGUGGCGCUCAAUAAAUACUCACAGGAGGAA